rnacentral:rRNA from 1 species
UUUAUGGAGAGUUUGAUCCUGGCUCAGGAUGAACGCUGGCGGCGUGCCUAAUACAUGCAAGUCGAGCGAACAGAUAAGGAGCUUGCUCCUUUGACGUUAGCGGCGGACGGGUGAGUAACACGUGGGUAACCUACCUAUAAGACUGGGAUAACUUCGGGAAACCGGAGCUAAUACCGGAUAACAUUUGGAACCGCAUGGUUCUAAAGUGAAAGAUGGUUUUGCUAUCACUUAUAGAUGGACCCGCGCCGUAUUAGCUAGUUGGUAAGGUAACGGCUUACCAAGGCGACGAUACGUAGCCGACCUGAGAGGGUGAUCGGCCACACUGGAACUGAGACACGGUCCAGACUCCUACGGGAGGCAGCAGUAGGGAAUCUUCCGCAAUGGGCGAAAGCCUGACGGAGCAACGCCGCGUGAGUGAUGAAGGGUUUCGGCUCGUAAAACUCUGUUAUUAGGGAAGAACAAACGUGUAAGUAACUGUGCACGUCUUGACGGUACCUAAUCAGAAAGCCACGGCUAACUACGUGCCAGCAGCCGCGGUAAUACGUAGGUGGCAAGCGUUAUCCGGAAUUAUUGGGCGUAAAGCGCGCGUAGGCGGUUUCUUAAGUCUGAUGUGAAAGCCCACGGCUCAACCGUGGAGGGUCAUUGGAAACUGGGAAACUUGAGUGCAGAAGAGGAAAGUGGAAUUCCAUGUGUAGCGGUGAAAUGCGCAGAGAUAUGGAGGAACACCAGUGGCGAAGGCGACUUUCUGGUCUGUAACUGACGCUGAUGUGCGAAAGCGUGGGGAUCAAACAGGAUUAGAUACCCUGGUAGUCCACGCCGUAAACGAUGAGUGCUAAGUGUUAGGGG